rnacentral:rRNA from 1 species
UGGGGAAUAUUGCACAAUGGGCGCAAGCCUGAUGCAGCGACGCCGCGUGGGGGAUGACGGCCUUCGGGUUGUAAACUCCUAUCGCUAGGGACGAAGCUUUUUGUGACGGUACCUAGAUAAGAAGCACCGGCUAACUACGUGCCAGCAGCCGCGGUAAUACGUAGGGUGCGAGCGUUGUCCGGAAUUACUGGGCGUAAAGGGCUCGUAGGUGGUUUGUCGCGUCGUCUGUGAAAUUCCGGGGCUUAACUCCGGGCGUGCAGGCGAUACGGGCAUAACUUGAGUACUGUAGGGGUAACUGGAAUUCCUGGUGUAGCGGUGAAAUGCGCAGAUAUCAGGAGGAACACCGAUGGCGAAGGCAGGUUACUGGGCAGUUACUGACGCUGAGGAGCGAAAGCAUGGGUAGCGAACAGG